rnacentral:rRNA from 1 species
AGAGCGGCGUACGGGUGCGGGACACGUGUGCAACCUGCCUUUAUCAAGGGAUAGCCUUUCGAAAGGAAGAUUAAUACCCUAUAAUAUAUGAUUCGGCAUCGGAUUAUAUUGAAAACUACGGUGGAUAAAGAUGGGCACGCGCAAGAUUAGCUAGUUGGUGAGGUAACGGCUCACCAAGGCGACGAUCUUUAGGGGGCCUGAGAGGGUGAUCCCCCCACACUGGUACUGAGACACGGACCAGACUCCUACGGGAGGCAGCAGGC